rnacentral:rRNA from 1 species
GACGAACGCUGGCGGCGCGCCUAACACAUGCAAGUCGAACGAGAGAGAGGAAGCUUGCUUCUUCAAUCGAGUGGCGAACGGGUGAGUAACGCGUGAGGAACCUGCCUCAAAGAGGGGGACAACAGUUGGAAACGACUGCUAAUAUCGCAUAAGCCCACAGCUCGGCAUCGAGCAGAGGGAAAAGGAGCAAUCCGCUUUGAGAUGGCCUCGCGUCCGAUUAGCUAGUUGGUGAGGUAAUGGCCCACCAAGGCGUCGAUCGGUAGCCGGACUGAGAGGUUGAACGGCCACAUUGGGACUGAGACACGGCCCAGACUCCUACGGGAGGCAGCAGUGGGGAAUAUUGCACAAUGGGGGAAACCCUGAUGCAGCGACGCCGCGUGGAGGAAGAAGGUCUUCGGAUUGUAAACUCCUGUUGUUGAGGAAGAUAAUGACGGUACUCAACAAGGAAGUGACGGCUAACUACGUGCCAGCAGCCGCGGUAAAACGUAGGUCACAAGCGUUGUCCGGAAUUACUGGGUGUAAAGGGAGCGCAGGCGGGAAGACAAGUUGGAAGUGAAAUCUAUGGGCUCAACCCAUAAACUGCUUUCAAAACUGUUUUUCUUGAGUAGUGCAGAGGUAGGCGGAAUUCCCGGUGUAGCGGUGGAAUGCGUAGAUAUCGGGAGGAACACCAGUGGCGAAGGCGGCCUACUGGGCACCAACUGACGCUGAGGCUCGAAAGUGUGGGUAGCAAACAGGAUUAGAUACCCUGGUAGUCCACACCGUAAACGAUGAUUACUAGGUGUUGGAGGAUUGACCCCUUCAGUGCCGCAGUUAACACAAUAAGUAAUCCACCUGGGGAGUACGACCGCAAGGUUGAACUCAAAGGAAUUGACGGGGGCCCGCACAAGCAGUGGAGUAUGUGGUUUAAUUCGACGCAACGCGAAGAACCUUACCAAGUCUUGACAUCCUGCGACGAUGCUGGAAACAGUAUUUUCCUUCGGGACGCAGAGACAGGUGGUGCAUGGUUGUCGUCAGCUCGUGUCGUGAGAUGUUGGGUUAAGUCCCGCAACGAGCGCAACCCUUACUGUCAGUUACUACGCAAGAGGACUCUGGCAGGACUGCCGUUGACAAAACGGAGGAAGGUGGGGAUGACGUCAAAUCAUCAUGCCCUUUAUGACUUGGGCUACACACGUACUACAAUGGCGUUAAACAAAGAGAAGCAAGACCGCGAGGUGGAGCAAAACUCAGAAACAACGUCCCAGUUCGGACUGCAGGCUGCAACUCGCCUGCACGAAGUCGGAAUUGCUAGUAAUCGUGGAUCAGCAUGCCACGGUGAAUACGUUCCCGGGCCUUGCACAAACCGCCCGUC